GUCGGGUUAAUUUAAUAGUAGAAUACUCCCCUGAUAAGGGAGAUACGGUGGAGCGUAACCAUCACUCGAUA
rnacentral:tRNA from 1 species